GCUGCACAGCGUUUGGUGAAGCAAUGAACACAGAGCAUUUAGCACAGCACAUAGCACCCACCUUGCUGUCUUCCUCCAUCCCCAGAUAAACAUUGCAGGAGAAAGCAGGCUCCCAAGAGCAGGAGGCCCAGGACAGGAAACCAAAUGGGCCCUGUCACCCAGUCCAGAUCCAGCCCACCUGCAGGAGCUUGCUUUCUAGCUGCUUUUGCAGACUAAGAUUCCUGGUAAUGAACUCAAACCUCUGAAGUGAUUAGAAUGAAAGGCUGUGGACACUAUGUACUAUUAAGGACUGGUUUCUCUGUGCUUGUUCAGCUGGGCUGAGGUGUUACAAAAGGCACAUGGGUUUCUCCCCAUCGUCACAGGGGCUGUCAGCAAUAAAACCCACCUGCCUCUUGUGCAGUACAUCUGGAGAUAUCCCUGCCCAGACAUCAUUUAACACCAUCCAAGAGUCUCCAAACAGAGGGCGAUCCCUGGGUCCACCUACAUAAAUUGCAGGCUGCAUCUCAACAUAAUGACUUAGUCAAAACCAAGUUGCUUCUCUUAAGGUUGCUUCAGGGGGACAGCAGUAGGGAAAUUGGAAACAAUCAGAGAUCAGAGCUUGGGGGCAAUUUAAAGGUCAGCCGGAGAGGAAUAAGGACGUGCUCAGGGUCAUACAGCAAACUAAGGGCUGAGAUGGAAGUAGAGUCCAGAGUCCUUUAAGCCAACUCCAACAUUUCUGCCCAAUACGACACUGAAAAGAUGGUGGAUAAUUGAAUGGACCUUGUGAUUUGGGGUGGAGAGGGGUUUCAAGAGCAGAAGGCCCACUCAAAUAUGGAUUAGUUUAUUCAUCAAAGGUUUGUUGAGUGCCUUCCACGUGUCGGGCACUGAGGAAUGUGAUAAGGUGCCUGCUCACGUAUGUGACUUACAGUCUGAGCAGGGGGAAGGGCAGGGACAGAUAACAAACAAGUAAGUAAAUACAUCAAGUAACCACAGUUUGUGACAAGCACCAUGACGGAAGCAAACAAGGCAUUGUGAUAGCAAAUAACUUUGUGGAGGGGGCCUCUUUAAAUAACCUGAUCAAAGAAGGUCUCGCAGAGCAACUGGCCUUUAAACCAAGAGCUGAAGGGCAGGACUCCAGCCAUAUGAAGAGCCAGGAGAAGAAUAUUCUAAGGAGAGCAAAGGAGCAAGAAGCAGGAAAGAGCUUGCUCUUUUCUAGAAACAGUCAAAUGUCUGUGGGAAAAUGGAGCUUAAAGCACAAGGUAGAGAGUUCAGGAGGUAAAAAGAGAGAAGAAGGCUGGGGCCCAGUCAUACCAGGUCUUAUCAACCAAGUAGAACUGUGAAAAAGAAGAGGAGUCAGGAUCUCUGCUGGGCUAGAGCCUACGUUCCAGCGGCGGGCAGAGGAGACAGACAAGAACCAAGAAAAUAAAUAAGCAAGAUGCAUUCCAGUAAGCCUUUUCUUCAAACAAAAUCUUAUCCAGAAUGCUCUUCCCGCUGUCAUCACGGAGGCCUCAGCUCAAAUACCACCUCCUCAGAGAGCCCGUCCUUAACCACAGCAUCUAAAGCUGCUCCACCUUUUCCUUCCUCCUAGUCACUCUGUCGCAUUCCCUGUUUCAUCAUGCUCGUAUCACUUACAACCCAAAAUUGACUUGUCUAUUUGUUUACUUGUCUUCCCUACUAGAAUAUA